rnacentral:rRNA from 1 species
UACGAAGGUGGCAAGCGUUGUUCGGAUUUAUUGGGCGUAAAGAGCUCGUAGGCGGCUCGUUGCGUCGGCUGUGAAAACCCGCAGCUCAACUGUGGGCUUGCAGCUGAUACGGGCGGGCUGGGAUUCGGUAGGGGAGACUGGAAUUCCUGGUGUAGCGGUGAAAUGCGCAGAUAUCAGGAGGAACACCGGUGGCGAAGGCGGGUCUCUGGGCCGAUAUCGACGCUGAGGAGCGAAAGCGUGGGGAGCGAACAGG